GACGAACGCUGGCGGCGUGCUUAACACAUGCAAGUCGAACGGAAAGGCUCCAGCUUGCUGGAGUACUCGAGUGGCGAACGGGUGAGUAACACGUGGGUAAUCUGCCCUGCACUCUGAGAUAAGCCUGGGAAACUGGGUCUAAUACUGGAUAUGACCUUUCUCCUUAUGGGGUUUGGUGGAAAGUUUUUCGGUGUAGGAUGAGCCCGCGGCCUAUCAGCUUGUUGGUGGGGUGAUGGCCUACCAAGGCGACGACGGGUAGCCGGCCUGAGAGGGUGAUCGGCCACAUUGGGACUGAGAUACGGCCCAGACUCCUACGGGAGGCAGCAGUGGGGAAUAUUGCACAAUGGGCGGAAGCCUGAUGCAGCGACGCCGCGUGAGGGAUGACGGCCUUCGGGUUGUAAACCUCUUUCAGCAGGGACGAAGCGUAAGUGACGGUACCUGCAGAAGAAGCACCGGCUAACUAUGUG
rnacentral:rRNA from 1 species